rnacentral:rRNA from 1 species
GCAGCCUGCAACUCGGCUGCAUGAAGCUGGAAUCGCUAGUAAUCGCAGAUCAGAAUGCUGCGGUGAAUACGUUCCCGGGUCUUGUACACACCGCCCGUCACACCAUGGGAGUUGGGAAUGCCCGAAGUCAGUGACCCAACCGCAAGGAGGGAGCUGCCGAAGGCAGGCUUGAUAACUGGGGUGAAGUCGUAACAAGGUAUC